UAAUACGUAGGCAGCGAGCGUUGUUCGGAGUUACUGGGCGUAAAGCGUGCGUAGGCGGUUGUCUAAGUUUGGUGUGAAAUCUCCCGGCUUAACUGGGAGGGUGCGCCGAAAACUGGGUGACUGGAGUGUCGGAGAGGUAAGCGGAAUUCCUGGUGUAGCGGUGAAAUGCGUAGAGAUCAGGAGGAACACCUGUGGUGUAGACAGCUUACUGGACGAUAACUGACGCUGAGGCACGAAAGCGUGGGUAGCAAACAGGAUUAGAUACCCUGGUAGUCCACGCCCUAAACGAUGCAUACUUGGUGUGGGCAGUUCAUUCUGUCCGUGCCGGAGCUAACGCGUUAAGUAUGCCGCCUGGGGAGUACGGUCGCAAGGCUG
rnacentral:rRNA from 1 species